rnacentral:rRNA from 1 species
UAGAUGCGAGAGUAGAGCAUAUCAAUAAGCGGAGGAAAAGAAACUAACAAGGAUUCCCCUAGUAACGGCGAGUGAAGCGGGAAGAGCUCAAAUUUGAAAUCUUCAAGGUUCUACCUUGACGAAUUGUAGUUUAUAGAAGUGUUUUCUGUUAGUGGAGUGGCAAAAGUUCUUUGGAAUAGGACAUCAUAGAGGGUGAGAAUCCCGUAUUUGGUCAUUCCUCCUAGCGUUGUGAUACACUUUCAACGAGUCGGAUUGUUUGGGAAUGCAGUCCAAAAUGGGUGGUAAAUUUCAUCUAAAGCUAAAUACUGGCGAGAGACCGAUAGCGAACAAGUACCGUGAGGGAAAGAUGAAAAGAACUUUGAAAAGAGAGUUAAACAGUACGUGAAAUUGUCAAAAGGGAAGCGUUUGACACCAGUGUUGUUUUCUCGGAAAAUCAAUUAAAAAUGAGCGGAUGUUGUGUUGUAUUGACUUUAUCAGCUUUCUGCACUUUUUUCUUGUCUUUUUUAAUGCACUUUUCGUUUAACAAGUCAACAUCAAUUUCUUUUGUUGUAAAAGGGUCAUUGGAAGGUGGCUUUCAUUUCGGUGAAAGUGUUUAUAGCCUUUGACUUCUGCAAUCGGAGAGAUUGAGGUCUGCAGCGUAGAUCCUUCGGGGUUAGAUACAUUUGUGCUAAGUUAUAGUUUUUCAUAGACAACAUGUUGACUAUGAUUAAUCAUGUAGCUUACUCGCUUAUGCUAUUUUACCUACGCUUAGGAUGUUGACGAGACUGUCGAUCUC